UAGUCCACGCUGUAAACGAUGUCUACUUGGAGGUUGUUGUCUUGAAUGAUGGCUUUCGGAGCUAACGCGUUAAGUAGACCGCCUGGGGAGUACGGCCGCAAGGUUAAAACUCAAAUGAAUUGACGGGGGCCCGCACAAGCGGUGGAGCAUGUGGUUUAAUUCGAUGCAACGCGAAGAACCUUACCUACUCUUGACAUCUAGAGAAGCCAGCGGAGACGCAGGUGUGCCUUCGGGAACUCUAAGACAGGUGCUGCAUGGCUGUCGUCAGCUCGUGUUGUGAAAUGUUGGGUUAAGUCCCGCAACGAGCGCAACCCUUAUCCUUGUUUGCCAGCACGUAAUGGUGGGAACUCCAGGGAGACUGCCGGUGAUAAACCGGAGGAAGGUGGGGACGACGUCAAGUCAUCGUGGCCCUUACGCCUAGGGCUACACACGUGCUACAAUGGUGCAUACAGAGAGUCGCGAUCCGGCAACGGUCAGCCAAUCUCACAAAGUGCAUCUC
rnacentral:rRNA from 1 species